rnacentral:rRNA from 1 species
GACGAACGCUGGCGGCGUGCUUAACACAUGCAAGUCGAACGGAAAGGCCCUGCUUUUGUGGGGUGCUCGAGUGGCGAACGGGUGAGUAACACGUGAGUAACCUGCCCUUGACUUUGGGAUAACUUCAGGAAACUGGGGCUAAUACCGGAUAGGAGCUCCUGCUGCAUGGUGGGGGUUGGAAAGUUUCGGCGGUUGGGGAUGGACUCGCGGCUUAUCAGCUUGUUGGUGGGGUAGUGGCUUACCAAGGCUUUGACGGGUAGCCGGCCUGAGAGGGUGACCGGCCACAAUGGGACUGAGAUACGGCCCAGACUACUACGGGAGGCAGCAGUGGGGAAUAUUGCACAAUGGGCGGAAGCCUGAUGCAGAAACGCCGCGUGCGGGAUGACGGACUUCAGGUUGUAAACCGCUUUCGCCUGUGACGAAGCGUGGGUGACGGUAAUGGGUAAAGAAGCACCGGCUAACUACGUG